UUCUAACUGAAUUUAACAAUUAGUACAACCUGCUCAAUGAAAUUUCAAUAGCCGCAGUUUAUUCUGUGCUAAGGUAGCAUAAUCACUUGCCUUCUAAUUAAAGGCUAGAAUGAAUGGUUUUUCAUGAGAGACACUUUAUUAAAAAAGUUUCUUAAACUUUAUUUUCAAGUAAAAAUUCUUGAAUUUUUACGAGGGACGACAAGACCCUGACGAACUUAACUUCUGUUGCACUGGGGAGGUGAAAAAACCAACUCUUUUUAUUUUUAAAAGCCCUUCAUAAGGAAUUUUAAACAAGUUACCGCAGGGAUAACAGCAUAAUUUUUCCUAGGAGACCUUAUCUUAAGAAAAGAUUGUGACCUCGAUGUUGAAUAAAUAUUCUCCCAGGAGCAAGAUCUUGGAAAGAAAGUCUGUUCGACUUUUAAUUAUUUACA
rnacentral:rRNA from 1 species